rnacentral:piRNA from 1 species
UAAGACUGAGAGAAUAGGUUCAAAAC